UACGUAGGGGGCAAGCGUUGUCCGGAUUUAUUGGGCGUAAAGAGCGUGUAGGCGGCCAUUCAGGUCAGCUGUGAAAACUCGAGGCUCAACCUCGAGACGUCGGUUGAAACCGUUUGGCUAGAGUCCGGAAGAGGAGAGUGGAAUUCCCGGUGUAGCGGUGGAAUGCGCAGAUAUCAGGAAGAACACCCGUGGCGAAGGCGGCUCUCUGGAACGCAACUGACGCUGAGACGCGAAAGCGUGGGGAGCAAACAGG
rnacentral:rRNA from 1 species